rnacentral:rRNA from 13 species
CCUGGCGGCCGUAGCGCGGUGGUCCCACCUGACCCCAUGCCGAACUCAGAAGUGAAACGCCGUAGCGCCGAUGGUAGUGUGGGGUCUCCCCAUGUGAGAGUAGGGAACUGCCAGGC